rnacentral:rRNA from 1 species
CUGGCGGCGUGCCUAACACAUGCAAGUCGAACGAGAAAGUGGAGCAAUCCAUGAGUAAAGUGGCGACCGGGUGAGUAACACGUGACUAACCUACCUCCGAGUGGGGAAUAACUCCGGGAAACCGGGGCUAAUACCGCAUAACAUCGCAAGAUCAAAGCAGCAAUGCGCUUGGAGAGGGGGUCGCGGCUGAUUAGCUAGUUGGCGGGGUAACGGCCCACCAAGGCGAAGAUCGGUAUCCGGCCUGAGAGGGCGCACGGACACACUGGAACUGAAACACGGUCCAGACUCCUACGGGAGGCAGCAGUGGGGAAUUUUGCGCAAUGGGGGAAACCCUGACGCAGCAACGCCGCGUGGAGGAUGAAGCCCUUUGGGGCGUAAACUCCUUUCGACUCGGACGAUAAUGACGGUACGAGUGGAAGAAGCACCGGCUAACUCUGUGCCAGCAGCCGCGGUAAUACAGAGGGUGCAAGCGUUGUUCGGAAUUAUUGGGCGUAAAGGGCGCGUAGGCGGUGCGGUAAGUCACCUGUGAAAUCUCCUGNCUUAACUGGGAGUCUGCAGGCGAAACUACCGUGCUGGA